CCGACCAUAGCUCAGUUGGUAGAGCGGAGGACUGUAGAGUUGGCAGAAAUCCUUAGGUCACUGGUUCGAAUCCGGUUGGUCGGA
rfam:Physcomitrella patens subsp. patens PHYPAscaffold_93 genomic scaffold, whole genome shotgun sequence.